UGGGGAAUAUUGCACAAUGGGCGCAAGCCUGAUGCAGCCAUGCCGCGUGUGUGAAGAAGGCCUUCGGGUUGUAAAGCACUUUCAGCGGGGAGGAAGGCGAUAAGGUUAAUAACCUCAUCGAUUGACGUUACCCGCAGAAGAAGCACCGGCUAACUCCGUGCCAGCAGCCGCGGUAAUACGGAGGGUGCAAGCGUUAAUCGGAAUUACUGGGCGUAGAGCGCACGCAGGCGGUUUGUUAAGUCAGAUGUGAAAUCCCCGGGCUCGACCUGGGAACUGCAUCUGAUACUGGCAAGCUUGAGUCUCGUAGAGGGGGGUAGAAUUCCAGGUGUAGCGGUGAAAUGCGUAGAGAUCUGGAGGAAUACCGGUGGCGAAGGCGGCCCCCUGGACGAAGACUGACGCUCAGGUGCGAAAGCGUGUGGAGCAAACAGG
rnacentral:rRNA from 1 species